UGGCGUAAUGAUGGCCAGGCUGUCUCCACCCGAGACUCAGUGAAAUUGAACUCGCUGUGAAGAUGCAGUGUACCCGCGGCAAGACGGAAAGACCCCGUGAACCUUUACUAUAGCUUGACACUGAACAUUGAGCCUUGAUGUGUAGGAUAGGUGGGAGGCUUUGAAGUGUGGACGCCAGUCUGCAUGGAGCCGACCUUGAAAUACCACCCUUUAAUGUUUGAUGUUCUAACGUGGACCCGUAAUCCGGGUUGCGGACAGUGUCUGGUGGGUAGUUUGACUGGGGCGGUCUCCUCCUAAAGAGUAACGGAGGAGCACGAAGGUUGGCUAAUCCUGGUCGGACAUCAGGAGGUUAGUGCAAUGGCAUAAGCCAGCUUGACUGCGAGCGUGACGGCGCGAGCAGGUGCGAAAGCAGGUCAUAGUGAUCCGGUGGUUCUGAAUGGAAGGGCCAUCGCUCAACGGAUAAAAGGUACUCCGGGGAUAACAGGCUGAUACCGCCCAAGAGUUCAUAUCGACGGCGGUGUUUGGCACCUCGAUGUCGGCUCAUCACAUCCUGGGGCUGAAGUAGGUCCCAAGGGUAUGGCUGUUCGCCAUUUAAAGUGGUACGCGAGCUGGGUUUAGAACGUCGUGAGACAGUUCGGUCCCUAUCUGCCGUGGGCGCUGGAGAACUGAGGGGGGCUGCUCCUAGUACGAGAGGACCGGAGUGGACGCAUCACUGGUGUUCGGGUUGUCAUGCCAAUGGCACUGCCCGGUAGCUAAAUGCGGAAGAGAUAAGUGCUGAAAGCAUCUAAGCACGAAACUUGCCCCGAGAUGAGUUCUCCCUGAGACUUAG
rnacentral:rRNA from 1 species